AUACGGAGGAUGCGAGCGUUAUCCGGAUUUAUUGGGUUUAAAGGGAGCGUAGGCGGGAGCUUAAGUCAGCGGUUAAAUGGUGCGGCUCAACCGUGCCCUGCCGUUGAAACUGGGUUUCUUGAGAGUGCAAGAGGCGGGUGGAAUUCAUGGUGUAGCGGUGAAAUGCUUAGAUAUCAUGAAGAACUCCGAUUGCGAAGGCAGUCCGCUGGGGCACGUCUGACGCUGAUGCUCGAAGGUGCGGGAAUCAAACAGGAUUAGAUACCCUGGUAGUCCGCACGGUAAACGAUGAUUACCCGCUGUCGGCGGUAGACAGUCGGCGGCCAAGCGAAAGCGAUAAGUAAUCCACCUGGGGAGUACGCCGGCAACGGUGAAACUCAAAGGAAUUGACGGGG
rnacentral:rRNA from 1 species